rnacentral:rRNA from 1 species
AGUACCCUUAGGAAAAGAAAUCAACCGAGAUUCCCCUAGUAGCGGCGAGCGAACGGGGAGCAGCCCUUAAGCUGUUUAGAAUUUAGUGGAAUCCUUUGGGAAGAGGAGCGAUACAAGGUGAUAGCCCUGUACACGACGGAUUCUUUACAGUGAAAUCGAGUAGGUCGGGACACGUGUUAUCUUGACUGAAUAUGGGGGGACCAUCCUCCAAGGCUAAAUACUCCUGACUGACCGAUAGUGAACCAGUACCGUGAGGGAAAGGCGAAAAGAACCCCUGUGAGGGGAGUGAAAUAGAACCUGAAACCGUAUACGUACAAGCAGUGGGAGCCCUUCGGGGUGACUGCGUACCUUUUGUAUAAUGGGUCAGCGACUUAUAUUUAGUAGCAAGGUUAAGUGAAUAACGGAGCCGUAGCGAAAGCGAGUGUUAACUGCGCGUUUAGUUGCUAGGUAUAGACCCGAAACCCGGUGAUCUAGCCAUGAGCAGGUUGAAGGUUGAGUAACAUCAACUGGAGGACCGAACCCACUAACUUUGAAAAGUUAGGGGAUGACUUGUGGCUGGGGGUGAAAGGCCAAUCAAACCGGGAGAUAGCUGGUUCUCCCCGAAAUCUAUUUAGGUAGAGCCUCGGACGAAUUCCAUUGGGGGUAGAGCACUGUUAAGGCUAGGGGGUCAUCCCGACUUACCAACCCUUUGCAAACUCCGAAUACCAAUGAGAACUAUCCGGGAGACACACGGCGGGUGCUAACGUCCGUCGUGGAGAGGGAAACAACCCAGACCGCCAGCUAAGGUCCCCAAGUACCAGUUAAGUGGGAAACGAUGUGGGAAGGCUCAGACAGCUAGGAGGUUGGCUUAGAAGCAGCCAUCCUUUAAAGAAAGCGUAAUAGCUCACUGGUCGAGUCGGCCUGCGCGGAAGAUAUAACGGGGCUAAGUAUUGUGCCGAAGCUGCGGAUGCAAUUUAUUGCAUGGUAGAGGAGCGUUCUGUAAGCCUGUGAAGGUGGAUCGUAAGGUCUGCUGGAGGUAUCAGAAGUGCGAAUGCUGACGUGAGUAACGAUAAUGCGGGUGAAAAACCCGCACGCCGAAAACCCAAGGUUUCCUGCGCAACGCUAAUCGGCGCAGGGUGAGUCGGCCCCUAAGGCGAGGGCGAAAGCCGUAGUCGAUGGGAAACUGGUUAAUAUUCCAGUACUUUUGAUAACUGCGAUGGGGUGACGAAGAAGGUUAGGUGGGCCUGGCGAUGGUUGUCCAGGUUCAAGCAUGUAGGCUGGUUUCUUAGGUAAAUCCGGGAAAUCAAGGCCGAGAUGCGAUGUCGAGCUCUCUUUUGAGCGAAGCCAUUGAUACCACGCUUCCAGGAAAAGCCUCUAAGCUUCAGGUUAUUGAAAACCGUACCCCAAACCGACACAGGUGGGUGGGAUGAGAAUUCUAAGGCGUUUGAGACAACUCGGGUGAAGGAACUCGGCAAAAUGGUACCGUAACUUCGGGAGAAGGUACGCCCCUGCCGGUGAUGAGACUUGCUCUCUAAGCUAGUGGGGGUUGCAGUGACCAGUUGGCUGCGACUGUUUAGCAAAAACACAGCACUCUGCAAACACGAAAGUGGACGUAUAGGGUGUGACGCCUGCCCGGUGCCGGAAGGUUAAUUGAUGCUGUUAGACUUUGUCGAAGCGGUUGAUCGAAGCCCCGGUAAACGGCGGCCGUAACAAUAACGGUCCUAAGGUAGCGAAAUUCCUUGUCGGGUAAGUUCCGACCUGCACGAAUGGCGUAACGAUGGCCAAACUGUCUCCACCCGAGACUCAGUGAAAUCGAAAUCGCUGUGAAGAUGCAGUGUACCCGCGGCAAGACGGAAAGACCCCGUGAACCUUUACUACAGCUUUACGCUGGUUUUUGAGCAUUUUUGUGUAGGAUAGGUGGGAGGCUUUGAAGUGUGUGCGCCAGCAUGCAUGGAGCCAUCCUUGAAAUACCACCCUGAAAUGCUUGGAAAUCUAACCCAGGUCCGUAAUCCGGAUCGGAGACAGCGUAUGGUGGGUAGUUUGACUGGGGCGGUCUCCUCCCAAAGAGUAACGGAGGAGUGCGAAGGUGACCUCAGCGCGGUCGGAAAUCGCGCAAUGAGUGCAAAGGCAUAAGGUCGCUUGACUGUGAGACAGACACGUCGAACAGGUGCGAAAGCAGGUCUUAGUGAUCCGGUGGUUCUGUAU